rnacentral:hammerhead_ribozyme from 1 species
GCACUGCUAAGGAGUCCCACAACAAGACGAAACGACCGUCUAGUAC